rnacentral:misc_RNA from 1 species
GAUGAAGAACGCAGUGAAAUGCGAUAAGUAAUGUGAAUUGCAGAAUUCAGUGAAUCAUCGAAUCUUUGAACGCACAUUGCGCCCCCUGGUAUUCCGGGGGGCAUGCCUGUCCGAGCGUCAUUACAACCCUCAAGCUCAGCUUGGUGUUGGGCCCCGCCGCCCCGGCGGGCCCUAAAGUCAGUGGCGGUGCCGUCCGGCUCCGAGCGUAGUAAUUCUUCUCGCUCUGGAGGUCCGGUCGUGUGCUCGCCAGCAACCCCAAAUUUUUUUCAGGUUGACCUCGGAUCAGGUAGGGAUACCCGCUGAACUUAAGCAUAUCAAUAAGCGGAGGA